AUUGAACGCUGGCGGCAGGCCUAACACAUGCAAGUCGAACGAGUGGCGGACGGGUGAGUAAUGUCUGGGAACCUGCCCGAUGGAGGGGGAUAACUACUGGAAACGGUAGCUAAUACCGCAUACCAUCGGAUGUGCCCAGAUGGGCUUAGCUAGUAGGUGGGGUACCGGCUCACCUAGGCGACGAUCCCUAGCUGGUCUGAGAGGAUGACCAGCCACACUGGAAAUGAGACGCGGUCCAGACUCCGACGGGAGGCAGGAGUGGGGAAGAUGGCACAAUGGGCGCAAGCCUGAUGCAGCCAUGCCGCGGGUAUGAAGAAGGCGUUCGGGUUGUAAAGUACUUUCAGCGAGGAGGCGUUACUCGCAGAAGAAGCACCGGCUAACUCCGUGCCAGCAGCCGCGGUAAUUC
rnacentral:rRNA from 1 species